UACGGGGGGGGCAAGCGUUGUUCGGAAUUACUGGGCGUAAAGGGCUCGUAGGUGGCCAACUAAGUCAGACGUGAAUUCCCCAGGCUUAACCUGGGAACUGCAUUCGAGACUGCAUUGCUAGAGUAUGGGAGAGGGAAGUGGAAUUUCCGGUGUAGCGGUGAAAUGCGUAGAUAUCGGAAGGAACAUCAGUGGCGAAAGCGACUUCCUGGACCAAUACUGACGCUCAUGUGCGAAAGCGUGGGGAGCAAACAGG
rnacentral:rRNA from 1 species